UUCUAGUGAUACAAUUGUAUAGAAUACAUCCGGUCGAGGAAAAUGAAGGCAGAUGCCGUUGACGUACGGAAAAGAUGGCAGGCUAAAAUCAAUCUUCAAGAAACAUUAAAGUCUUAAAUGCAUGAUUAUGGAAUAUUAAGAGCAUUUUGUACGUAACGUGGAAUAAUAAAGAGUUUAAAACAUAAGUAUUGAAGUAAGUCAAAAAAGGCCAAAAAAAUCACGUUUGUUGUAUGGGAGCCGC